ACUACCUAUAAAAUAAACAGAAACAUUCUGAUUUGUUUCUUUGAGGCAGCAAUAGAGAAAUAGCUGCACUAACAGGAUAAGAAGCCGAAAAGAAACAAAUAUUUUCUAUUCAGAUGGUGUUAAAAUGUGGUCAUCAAAGCUAGGGAUCCUUGUAUUUUUCUUCAGCUGCAUGAGCAAGUCUCUUUGCCUUCCUGGGGUUUAAUUUUCUCAUCCAGAAAAUAAGAAACUUAAACUAGGUUAUUUCUAAGCGUGCUUCCAGCUUCAAAUGUAUGUAAUAUCUAAUAAUUUGUUUAGUAGGUGCUUUCUGUAGUGGUGCUAGGUGCUGUUCCUGACACCUGGCUUGACACCAACCUCAAGAAGAGAUUAUGCCUGGAAAAUUGAAAGCGGUGUGAAGACACUUUGUCUGGACACCCAGGAGAUGCAGCACAAACUGCCUUUGAAGAUGACGAACUGCCUCACUCUUGGGAGUACAGCACUUUUAAGAAAUGCUUGGACCUAAAAAGCUGUCAAAUUGGAAGUCAUCUAGGCUAGGUUGCAGCUUUUCAGCUCUGUUCAGGAGGAGAAUCUCUUUACGACAUUAAAAAAUGACUUUGCAAAACGUUGGCCAGCGCAGAAGCUUAUUGAAUUUAUUUACCUUUUCAGAGUUUCCCUUUAAGCACUACUUUUGCCUCAUCCUACAAAUUUUGGUGGCUGUGGACCUGGCAAAAACUACAUUUCCCAGCAUCCACUUCAUCUGAGUGCGACCAUAUGACACAAUUCUGCCCCAUGAGGAGUAAGUGGAAGGUUCUGGACAGAACUGCUGCAAAGGAGUUUUCAGAUUCGGUUUUGCCAUUUGCCUUUCUCUCUUCCACUUUGUCCUGCCUGAAAUGAGGAAACAAGGCUUGACGUGAAAUGAGGCGGCUGGCAGGCCUGAGGAUGGAGGCUGUAGUCUAAGCGUGGCUGACUGGACAGAUGGUGGGCUUAGGUCCCUGAUAGUAUUAUGGAGCUAUCACGCUGGUCCUGGAAUGGUGACCUCCAUAUGUCUUUUACUGUUAUCAUUAAUCUUAAUGUUAACAUUGACAAUGCUGCAGUACCAGUAGCAAUGUGCCCUCUUGGGAUUUUAAUUUCUGAGUUGUGAUGACCCAGAAAAUUAUAAAGGUUUUGCCAUUGAAAGUAAUGGCAAAAACCGCCAUUACUUUUGCACCAACCAAAUACUAUCACAAUUGCAAGAGGUUUUUCCUCACCAAAAGGAACCAGCAUUCCUUGGACAAAUGGAUUGAGUGCAGAGCUUGGGCGGGGAAGGCACAGAUGAAUUUGGGAUACUUUCCUGCAACAAGAAGCAAGGAAGCUUUCGAUGAUUAACAGGGUACUCUUGAAAGAACACAGGAGUCAGCUUGACAGGCCCCCAUUGCUCACAGAUCAGAGAAUUUGGACAAAAAGAUUGUACUUGACUGAUGUACACUGAAUCUAUCAAAAUCCAUAAGGAUACUCAUGAAGGAGAGAAAUCCAGAAAACCUACUGUUACCAUUUGAGGUAGGUAUUAUAAAACUCCUUCCUUUGCAAAUUGGUAUUAAAAAGAAAGAAAGGUUUUCAGAGGAAGCAAUGUUUGAACUGAAAUAAAAAAGGCUUGUAAACGUACAGCAGAUGCAUCAGGUUAAGAGAACAGGGAGCUGGGGAGGGGUUCAGGAGCUUUGCAAUCUUGGUGAAGGAGUCUCUCAGGUCUGACAGAGCUGUGGUUUAUAGAUCCAAAGGGUUUCAGAGCUGAAAUGUGGUGAGAGUAACGAUCAGAGACACCUGCUGUUUUCAUAUGAAAUAACAGAGUUAAAUAUUAUACACAUCGGGCCCAACGCACAGUCUUAGCCCACCAGCCUUUGGUCUGACAGCCUUCUAUCACACUGCGCUGUGACUUGUCCACUAGGCUACCACUUCUCUGGUAGCAUCCUCUGGGGCACUUGGAGGUUUGCUGAAGCUACAUGGUGCUGGGAUCUCAUCCCUCCUUCCUCAUUCUCAUCAGCUGGCCCUGGAUGCCCUUGGGAAAGCUCUGCUGAGAUGAAUCAAGAAGAGAAAACCUCUCAUCUUUAGGCUGGGUGCAGUUUUUCUCAGAUGACAAAUCCACACGUUUUAAUCACUUGUGUCCUUUAUACUGAGUACAUCCUGGUCCAACACCAAGAAUGUCCAAUCACUGCCUCCAGCCACUGCAUAGCUGGCGUUGCUCAUCGUGGCUGUGUUUGUGACCAAGGUGGAUGGCCAUAGCCACAUCUAGGGUCAGAGUGGUCAGAAUGGCCAGAGUCCCCCAGCUGGUCAUUUGACACAGGCAGAUGAAUACAAAAGAGAGGGAGUGAGGUUUUUUGGACAACCAAGCCACAGGGCAAAUUAGGAUGAGCACUACAAUAGGAGGAAGAUAAAGCUAUGGAAAUGAGUGAUGCAUCCUCUUUUGGAAAAAAUGUGCUAAGCAUCAUUGUCCCAGUCUGCAAAUAGCCACCUGCCCUAUUCUGCAAACACCAACCAAGGACUGGAAUCUGAAGAACAGGGUUGAUUUCACCACUUUCAGAACCUCCAGAAGAGGCACAAAUCAGUAACAAAUUGUGGCUGUCUAGGAAAGUUUAGUACUUUUUCUCUUUAAGGCAAAAACUGGUAACUAUUCCCCAGAUUAACACAAUCAGGCAGACUUCUUGAAGGCAGACUGGCUGGCAAAUUUCUGAAAGGCAAAGAACAGGCCCUGUCUUCAGUCUCCAAACUCCCUCCUCCUUCCCCCAGUUUCACAAGCUCAGGGGGCAACAAAUAAGUACUAGUUGAUGAUAAUGAUGGCUAAAGUUAUCAUUGGGUAACGAGGGCCUAGUUAGAUUUUAUUUUAAUUAGGCUCAGGCUACAGGCCUCAUUACCCCUAAUGUGGCUUUUAUGUGGGAUUCUAAAGAAAAACAAAAAAACCCUAGGAAUCUUCUACUGAAGAUAUUAAAGAAGAUAUUAUUAGCAAUGCAUUUGGUCUCAUAGACUUUGAACAACAAACAACAGAGAUUAUAAUUAAUGUCACUACAGCCUCUCUCCUUAAAACAAACUAACAAUAUAGUUAAUUAGCAAUAUAUCCUCAUUUGGGGCUGGACAUCUGCAUAUUAUUAUCGACAAUGCUUGUUUCCUUUUUCCAGAUGAAAGGAAGCCAUACUGCACCCAGGCACAUGGCUGUGCGCCUUCCACAUUCAAACACUCCAUUUUCUUCUACCCACAAUAAACACACUCGGGGCUUUAUCUGUGCCGAGCAUCGAUUUUGUCUGGAACAGUUCCACACAUCUAAAAAUAAGUUCAAGAAUGCCACUAGUGGUAUUUCAAAGGGAAGAGCAAAAGUUUUGCCAUUUGAAGAGAUAAAAGAAGAAAAUGGCACACUGAUUAUCUUUAACAUGAUUGAGGAGCAAGCACUCCUAAGAUGAGAAAACCAGGAGAAUGAAUAAAGUGAGUUUUAGACCAUAAAAUCGGCUUUCUAGAAGGGGCACACUUGUUCUUAGUGCUCAGGAAGAUGGAUGGAGACCACGAUCCUAGGAGUGGAAGCAGGGGGUGGUGGGGGGCUUGUUGGGACUUAUUCUGAGAAGUGUUGGAAAGAGGCAGCCAGGAUGCACUGGGGAAAAACUGCACUGUGAAGACACAGAUGACAAGGCUGACCAGCUGCUGCUCUCAUGAAGCCUGUGUAUGAUGGCAAUCAUUCCCCUUCAGGCAGCAGGAACAGAGCAAAUGUCAAUGGCCGUAUUUUAUAGCAAGCAUGACAGUGCAAUGCCCCUUUAGGAACUAUUGCUGGCAGAGGGGAAACGGCCAUACGUAUGCUUCAGUCUUUGCUGGGCACUCUGACGACAGCCCUGAGAGCCAGUGACACAGGUACAUCAUGGGCUCAAGAAUUCAGGAGGGUCUCAGUCCUGGUUUGGGAAUGGAGCCUGCUGUCACGGUCUGACUAAUAGCUGAGGAAUCCCUAGUUAUGGCGGCAGAAUGUAUCAUAACGAUGUUUACUUUAGGGCUUGGCAGUGACCUCGUUUAUUAUCUCAGGCUUUAGAAGAAAUGAAGAAUGGGCAACUCUUUGCAUUUGGGUAGGGAGCUGGCUUUGAGGUGGAGGGGCCACCCAUCCCUGUGUAUCUCUCCUCAUUGAAGGUUCUUGGGGCCGGCUGACAAAAUGGAGAUCAACACUUCACUGGUGUGUCUUGAAUACUUCUGUAAACUGCUUUGAUCUUGAAAAUGUGCAGAUUAUUGGUGAAUUUUUUCAAGUUGUGCUUUCUCCAUUGCUGGCAAAGAAAACAGAGUGGUAGCUUUUCCAGGACCGAUUUCUUUUAUGUCCUGUUAGGCUAAAGAAUGAACUGAAAUGAAGGAUAAAUUAUUCUUUCAAGUGUAAGAAAACAUGUAAGAAGCAGAGUACACGAGUGGAAAGUGAGUUAGGCCAAAAAAAAAAAGAAAAAGAAAAACAAACCCUUCACACAUCACCUAAAACAUCCCUGCAAAUGUAGAGAGAUGGAGAAAUCAUACUUUCCAGAACCACUUUGAUAAAGCCCUUGUGGUGUGAGGCCAGCCAUCCUCAGCAUCCAGUUAAGGGCAAGGCUUUCUAUCAGCCUUCCAGGCUGCAGCUAACCAGCUCAGGGCUAUAAAGGCCAGGCCACCAGUGGCCACCAGGGGGCUUCCAUCCCUCCUCUUCAGCCCUGUUAGAGUUCAGCCACCCCUUUAAGUCAAACUUUGAGCAAAUAUUUAAUGAGUGUGGAUUAUUGGUGAUUUUCCAAGUUGUGCUUUCUCCAUUACCGGCAAAGAAAACAGAGUGGUAACUGUCUAGGACUCGGUUUCCAGGACCCAAUUUGAAGAGGCACCAGAUCAUUAGUGCACCUAAAAGGCCCAAGUAUCUAAGUCCUCCUACGACCAGAGGGAACGGGUGUCGAACAGGACACCAGAAGGCGAACAUCUCCUGCAGUGAUUCUGUGUCUCCCUGCAUAGAAUGAGGGGAUAUAAGGCCCAGGCCAAGGCUGGUGUUCUGUUGGUGAGAGGGAGAACCUGGAAAUUAAGCCAAAGGACAUGGAUGGCAGAGUUCAGAAGCUGAGGUCUGGGGUAGGGGUGGCCUAGGGACCCUUGCCAAGUUAUUAUCCUAAUUAAGGAGAUGGAUUCUUCUCAACACUAAAGUUAAGAACCCUCAUUGAAACCUAUUGCUAAUCUCUCUGCUCCAAGUACUUCUAAAAUGGGUUUCAAAGGUCAUUGGACGUUAACCUUGGAAUCCUGAAAAGGGUUCAGGGUACUGUGGAAAGGACUGGGGCCAGGAGUUUCAAGGUCUGGGUCUGGGUCCCAGCAUUGCCUCUUCCUGUUUUGUGAGCUUUGGUAAGUUAUUGCACCUCUGCACUUAUGGUAGACUGGUUGGCAAAAAUGUCCACAAAUUCUUCUUUUCUCUAAAGAUCCACGCCUCAGGUAGUUGCUUCCACACUCUUUGAGCUUCUUUUUUCUUUUUUUUUUUUUUGAGACA
rnacentral:lncRNA from 1 species